rnacentral:rRNA from 1 species
AAGUUCCGACCUGCACGAAUGGCGUAACGACUUGGGCACUGUCUCAACCAGAGACUCGGCGAAAUUGCAGUACGAGUAAAGAUGCUCGUUACCCGCGGAAGGACGGAAAGACCCUAGGACCUUUACUGCAGCUUGAUAUUGGAGUUUGGGACGUGUUGCGUAGGAUAGGCGGGAGGCUUUGAAGCGGGGAUUCUGGUUCUCGUGGAGCCACCCUUGAAAUACCGCCCUGCGCGUUCUGAGCUUCUAACCCGGGUCCGUAAUCCGGAUCGGGAACAGUGUCAGGUGGGCAGUUUCACUGGGGCGGUGACCUCCUAAAUGGUAACGGAGGUGUUCAAAGGUUCCCUCAUCCUGGUCGGCCAUCAGGAGUUGAGUGCAAACGCACAAGGGAGCUUGACUGCAAGACCUACAAGUCGAGCAGGUGCGAAAGCAGGAGUUAGUGAUCCGGCGGCUCCUCGUGGUAGGGCCGUCGCUCAUCGGCUAAAAGGUACCCUAGGGAUAACAGGCUGAUCGUUCCCAAGAGUCCAUAUCGACGGAACGGUUUGGCACCUCGAUGUCGGCUCGUCGCAUCCUGGGGCUGGAGCAGGUCCCAAGGGUUGGGCUGUUCGCCCAUUAAAGCGGCACGCGAGCUGGGUUUAGAACGUCGUGAGACAGUGGGAGUUAUCCGUGCUGUCUAUAAAUUCGGCUAUUUGCUGGAAACUCCGAGUAUCCGGCGCUACUCGUUCAUGUGCCACACGAGAGUGUGAGCAUGAGCAGUGACAAUGCGACCGGUGCGGACAAUCAGCAGGAAAGGCUGGAUUCCUACAUCGCAGUUCACGUAGACGGCGAAGGCUCGUUCAUGUGCUUCAUCCGCGUACGAAGGACAACACCCUUGUGUUCGUCGUACGCAAGCAACAGCGUUGUUGAAAGAGUCAUUCCGUUGUAGUGAAUCGAUGUAGGGACCAGAAUCCUCAGAGACCAUAUGCCGAACACCAUGAGCCAGGAGAAUGGUGAAGAUAUGGUCCGACCUGCAUGGCGACAUGCAGAGCCAGGCAGAAAUGACCUGGCCCCCGAUCGCAAUCGGAUCGGCGGUAACAAAUGUGUCGGUCCCUAUCCUCCGCGGGCGUAGGAAACUUGAAGGGAGCUGUCCCUAGUACGAGAGGACCGGGACGGACGCACCUCUAGUGUGCCAGUUGUUCUGCCAAGGGCAUGCUGGUUAGCUACGUGCGGAACGGAUAAGCGCUGAAAGCAUCUAAGUGCGAAACCGACCCUGAGAUGAGGUUUCCCAUCCCGUUAAGGGAGUAAGGCCCCUUGCUAGACGACAAGGUUGAUAGGCCGGAGCUGUAAGCACAGCAACGUGUUCAGGCGACCGGUACUAAUAGGCCGAGGGCUUGGUUUCGCUC